CUUUUGGAUCCAGAUUCUUGACUCCUUUUCUUUUCUUUUGUUUGACUUUUUUUUUUAUCGUUUUCCUUCUCGCCUAUUUUCGUCGAGUCCAAAUUAUAUACGUUUCAGCGCAACUUGCGAUAUCCGUAGAAAAUUUGAAAAUACACGUUGUUACGUCCGACGCGACCGAUUGGUUCGUUUAUACCACGUGUAUUAAGGUCUCCGAACUCGUGGUUUAAACGAGCGCGGAUACUUCUAUGAAUACCGAAUGCCAAUUACUUAGGAUUACAGCUCUGAAACCGAAAGAAUGGUGUACAGGAAUUUUUCGUCGUAGUUUAGCAUUUAUUUAAUUCUGCGUCGGAUGUUUUUGUGAAUACCGUAUUCGUGAUUGCUAGAGACAGGAGCAAAAGUUAAAGAGGACUGCAUACGAAUCCUUGUCGUAACAGAGGUCUCGGCUAGCGUGAUAAUAACCGUGUUGCGACUAACGAUUGACGAAUAAUACGAAAUGGGACCAGCAGCAAUUAAACGUCACGGUCAUUGGAAUUGACUUUAUCAAUCUUCGUUAAUAGUCACACGUAUGCGUUUAUUACCCGGACGAGAACAUGUUCCCCAUCGCGUGUCCAUUUCUCACACAAAUACAUAUUUACUUUUCAAUCCGAAUGAAAGUAACCGAUCGAAAGUAUAACAGUAAAGAAAGAAACGAAAGAAGAUCAUCCGAUAGCAGGUUACAGAGAAAAAGAUGGAAAAAUGGCGAUCCGUGUCUAUUCUCAGUAUUUAAGGCAGCCUUUAACGUUAAGAUGGUUGGGUUCAGUUCCUACAAUGACACGUUUAUCGGGCAUUUGGUGGUUGAAAUGCGAUUCGUACCGUGUGUAUUUGCUGAACUGUAAAGUUGAGGUAUAUACAUUUAUUAGAGUAGAAGAGAAAUGUUAUACAAGUGAUCGAUUCGAGAUAUGUUCGCGACUUGUUGAUAUAAGCCUUCUUCCUCGCCACUUCUCUCCCGGUUCCGUUUUAGCCGACGCUUCCGUUGAGGGGUUUCUCUACGUAAUCUCAUUAUUACUUUCUUUUUUGUUUGUUUACUCUCUUUUAUUCAGGCUUGUUUUGAGAACGACCGAUUUGCGAUUUAUUGGUUCCGCCGGAUUUGUUUUGCGACGAAUCUCUCUCUGUCUUGUUCUUUUUGUACCGCUACUUCCGUAAAAUUGUAUCAAUAGUUUUCUCGUCUUCUUUUUCCUCCCCCAUUCUUUUUUCAACGAGUAUACAUCGUUACUUUUUUUCUAAUUAUACGACUCGAUGAUGAUUAUGAUUACAAUAUGACAAUGUUGAGAUAUGAAAUAAAUUGUGUAAAUAUAUCAUUUUCGUAAAACCGUUUGCUUUUCCCUUAUGCCUUCUGACUUUAAACGGGGCCAGCGAAUAAACGAAGGGUAGUAAAAGUUCAAUUGUAUAUAAAUAAGUAUGUAUAUUAUUAAAAAAAGAUAUGGUGGAUGUAAAAUUGUACAGGAAUUUGUAUCGAAUUAUAUAAGGUCUGAGAAUUAUUGAGGUAGAUCGGAAUUCGGUUCAGCGUUUUUGGUUAAAUGCAAUCCAUUAAUUUUCUUGGUAGAAACGAGGAUUAAGUAGAAAGAUUUCACCUGUUCACGGACCGUAACCUUUGAACCGAAUGUUUUAUGUGUAUCCUUAUCGUAGAAUCGCAAUGAAAACCUUUGUUGUCUUGUUUGAAAUUUCAUUCAAUUGCCUGGAGCAUCUACAAAAGAAUAUUCGAAUAAAAAAGAGUUAUUGAAUUAAUUGUAUGUAGGCUCUGUAGAAUUAAUCAUGAUCUUACUUGGUACUGGAUAGUUGAACACAGGAUACUUAGGCGCGAAGGGAGUACUUGCACCGUACACAUAAUCGGAUUCACCGACAUCUUUGAUGUGUUGAGCUCUUGAUACACAUUCUUCGUAGGAUGGAGGUGCUGCAUAUAAAUGAAAGUCGCUGGAGGUACCAGCCUGGUCCGGCAUAAUGAAACCAAUAUGUCUACCAGGAACAUUGGAAUGUGAUGCUUCUGGCAGUGGCAUUGGAACUGGCGGUGCUGAUUCUUUUCCGAUCGCUGGUCUGACAUGUGUUUGUUCGUUAGGCGGUGCGCUUGGUGUACUGUAUAUUGGUAUUGUUCCGAUGAGAAGAGGGUACCUUUUUUCAAUUCUGCGGUGCCUAAUUGUUGUUGGAAAACACAUUUUAAUGGAAAGUAGUGCAGUUUGAAUCAAUCUGAUUAAUUAUCCCAAAUAUACGACUUGGAUAUUUAAGCCCAAGUAGUUCAAUUUACAUUUUGUCUAUGGAUACUCAACAGAAAACAGCCAUGUCGCAUGUUUAUAAAUUAGAAAAAUAUAGAUGUGAUUUUAAGUUCUGAUUUAGAUAGACCUGUUACUUUUUUGUAGAAUUCAUAUUUUCGUAUACCAAUCUUGAAAUAAUCAUGUAAAAAGGAAACCUACAAUUUUUAAUACGAUAUAAUAAAGGGAAGAUUAUGAAACCUUUUUUAAAAUUGAAAACUGAUGUAGGGAGGUCUCCAUAACGGCGCAUCGUAAUUAAAUAAUUAAAAAUCUAAAAAAAUUAUUGAGACCUUCCAAUUUUUGCUCAAUUAGCCUUAUGGUUAGUUCAUUCGAUGAGUGAUCUAAUUAUAUUUCACGUUAUCAAAAUUCCAACGUUAUAAUUCUAACGUGAUAAGAUACGUGUUACUGAGGUUUCUACGUACGCUCCUGGAAAAUGGACAAGAAUUUUUAAGUUGUAGUUCAAGUCUAUGAUGUCGCAAAAUUGUAGGUAAGACGGCGGGAUCGGCGGUAUCCUGAGUUCUAAAUAGAUUUGUCCAUCUGAUGUAAAAGGUCCUGAAUAUGAACUCGCCAUAACUUCGAAAUGUUCAGUUCUCGUUUUGGUAGUCGUAUGAAAUUUGAUUUCCUUGAAAGGAAAAUGAUGGAAUAAUGAUCAUUCGCUGCUGAAAAUCUUUACAGUUUCACUUACUCGUUCCAAUUUCAUACUGAUCUUCGCUAUUGGAAUACCAUUCGAAAAAUUUUUGUAGUCCACCACUGUGAUGAUCAUCUGUCCAGGAACGUAUCCAGAAGAUGGUACUCGAAUGACUGUACUUAACGAGCCCAUAUUAAAGCAGCAAAGAGAACGGAAGGUCUUCUGAGCUUCAUCAUGGAUUCCCAACUGCUCAAAGUCUAGAACGGAGACCACAGUAAAAGCUGCUUUACAUUCGUGAUCGAAUUUCCAAGGCCUGUCGAUCACAGAUUUAACCGUGUAUCGGACGUAUCCGACACUGUGUUCGAAGCUACUGGGAAUGUUACAGGGAAGCAGAAAUUCGAAUGGGUACUGAUGAUAUCCCUCGGAGAGUUUGACCCUUGAAUCUGCUGGAAAGUGUCAAAGAAAAAUAUUAUAAAAUAUGACAAUGUUUACUUGGAUAAAUGAAGGAAACAGCAUCCAUGAGAUUAGAUAAGGUCUGUCAACUGAUUGAACGAUUGCAAUUGGUGGGACACACCUCCAUCGGUACCCAGUAUAUUGCCCUUUAUUUUAAAAUAUUCCUGCGAUGCGUAGUAGGAUGUACUUGUAGUUCUUCUAUCCUUUCCGGUACCAGUUUCUGACGAUUCCGUCCAAUGCACGUGGGCCGAACCUUUAGCAGUGAAAUGGAGUCCUAAAAUUGGUAAUUGUUUUUUUAAUAAAUUUGGUAUGAACUCUCGUUAUCGUGUAUUUAAUUCUGAUUUACAUUUUAUACUUUUGUACUUUGUGCUACGGAUAUUAAUUCUUUAAGCCUCUACUGAUAACAUCAAUUGGUCUUGUGAUACUAAUAGUUAGAUAGUGGAAAUAGUAAUAAGAUGAAAAAUUUUCCCCAUUUCAUAUACUUAUGGGGUGUUAUUUAAUUGUGUAUAAAUAAUGUGUAUAAUUUUUUUAUAUGUAUUUAA